rnacentral:misc_RNA from 1 species
UCGUACCACGGAGGCGCGAGGGCUGUCGCUGACCUUUUCGAAGGUCGUGCACGUCCGAGCCCUCUCACAAUCCAUCUCACCCUUUGUGCAUCGCCGCGUGGGUCCCCCUUUUCGGGAGGGCUCGCGUUUUCACAUAAAACUGGAUACUGUAUAGAAUGUUUUCUUUUUUGUUUGCGGUCACACGCAAUCAAUA